UAAUUGCAUAGGCGGCGAUCAUAAGAAAGGAACUCCUGACUUGCUUAAGCAAGGUGGCUCUAAAACCGGCUCUAUGCAUAAAAGUGCAAGUGACGUUCUCUUCUAGUUUGUGUUCGUUUCAACUGUCUUGUGCUCGUCUUAUAUUUAUAUGUUUCUAACAAAGAUGCAAUAGAGACACAUCCGAAUGAUCAUAGCAAAUGCCAAUUAACUGCAACUGAAGUGGAGGUAUACACUAUG